rnacentral:rRNA from 1 species
UUUUGGACAAUGGGCGAAAGCCUGAUCCAGCCAUUCCGCGUGAGUGAAGAAGGCCUUCGGGUUGUAAAGCUCUUUCGCAACGGAAGAAAACUUAGGCGCUAAUAUCGCUUGAGGUUGACGGUACCUUGAUAAGAAGCACCGGCUAACUACGUGCCAGCAGCCGCGGUAAUACGUAGGGUGCGAGCGUUAAUCGGAAUUACUGGGCGUAAAGCGUGCGCAGGCGGUUUUGUAAGUCAGAUGUGAAAUCCCCGAGCUCAACUUGGGAACUGCGUUUGAAACUAUAAGACUAGAAUAUGUCAGAGGGGGGUAGAAUUCCACGUGCAGCAGUGAAAUGCGUAGAGAUGUGGAGGAAUACCAAGGCGAAAGCAGCCCCCUGGGAUAAUAUUGACGCUCAUGCACGAAA